rnacentral:rRNA from 1 species
AAAGCUCUGGCGGAGAAGGAUGGGCUCGCGGCCUAUCAGCUUGUUGGUGUGGGUAAUGGCCCACCAAGGCGACGACGGGUAGCCGGCCGAGAGGGUGACCGGCCACACUGGGACUGAGACACGGCCCAGACUCCUACGGGAGGCAGCAGUGGGGAAUAUUGGACAAUGGGCGAAAGCCUGAUCCAGCAACGCCGCGUGAGGGAUGACGGCCUUCGGGUUGUAAACCUCUUUCAGCAGGGACGAAGCGAGAGUGACGGUACCUGCAGAAGAAGGACCGGCCAACUACGUGCCAGCAGCCGCGGUAAUACGUAGGGUCCGAGCGUUGUCCGGAAUUAUUGGGCGUAAAGGGCUCGUAGGCGGUUUGUCGCGUCGGGAGUGAAAACUCAGGGCUCAACCCUGAGCGUGCUUCCGAUACGGGCAGACUAGAGGUAUGCAGGGGAGAACGGAAUUCCUGGUGUAGCGGUGGAAUGCGCAGAUAUCAGGAGGAACACCGGUGGCGAAGGCGGUUCUCUGGGCAUUACCUGACGCUGAGGAGCGAAAGCAUGGGGAGCGAACAGGAUUAGAUACCCUGGUAGUCCAUGCCGUAAACGUUGGGCGCUAGGUGUGGGGACCUUCCACGGUUUCCGUGCCGCAGCUAACGCAUUAAGCGCCCCGCCUGGGGAGUACGGCCGCAAGGCUAAAACUCAAAGGAAUUGACGGGGGCCCGCACAAGCGGCGGAGCAUGCUGAUUAAUUCGAUGCAACGCGAAGAACCUUACCUGGGUUUGACAU